rnacentral:tRNA from 1 species
AAUAAAGUGCCUGAUUAAAGGAUUAUUCUGAUAGGAUAAAAAAAGUAGAUUUCUACCUUUAUUA